CAGCAGCCGCGGUAAUCCGAAGGGUGCAAGCGUUACUCGGAAUUACUGGGCGUAAAGCGUGCGUAGGUGGUGGUUUAAGUCCGUUGUGAAAGCCCUGGGCUCAACCUGGGAAUUGCAGUGGAUACUGGGUCACUAGAGUGUGGUAGAGGAUAGUGGAAUUUCCGGUGUAGCAGUGAAAUGCGUAGAGAUCGGAAGGAACAUCUGUGGCGAAGGCGACUAUCUGGGCCAACACUGACACUGAGGCACGAAAGCGUGGGGAGCAAACAGGAUUAGAUACCCGUGUAGUCCCUGUCUCUUAUAC
rnacentral:rRNA from 1 species